GGCGCUAUAGUGUAGUGGUUAUCACUCGGGAUUUUGAUGUUAUAUAUAAAUUUCCCGAAACCCAGGUUCGAACCCUGGUAGUGCCU
rfam:Termitomyces sp. J132 unplaced genomic scaffold scaffold302, whole genome shotgun sequence.